CUACCUGAUGACCGAUAGUGAAGCAGUACCGUGAGGGAAAGGUGAAAAGAACCCCGGGAGGGGAGUGAAAUAGAACCUGAAACCGUGUGCCUACAACCGCUCAGAGCCCCUUAUGAGGGUGAUGAGGUGCUUUUUGUAGAACGAGCCAACGAGUUACGGUAUGUAGCAAGGUUAAGUACUUAAGGUACGGAGCCGAAGGGAAACCGAGUCUGAAUAGGGCGACUAGUUGCAUGCCGUAGACCCGAAACCGGGUGACCUAUCCAUGGCCAGGUUGAAGCGAGGGUAAAACCUCGUGGAGGACCGAACCACGUUGCUGUUGAAAAAGCAUGGGAUGAGCUGUGGAUAGCGGAGAAAUUCCAAUCGAACCCGGAGAUAGCUGGUUCUCUCCGAAAUAGCUUUAGGGCUAGCGUCGAGUAUGAGUAGUGGAGGUAGAGCACUGAAUGGGCUAGGGGGCAUAGCGCUUACCGAACCUUAUCAAACUCCGAAUGCCACAUACUUUGAGCUCGGCAGUCAGACUACGAAUGAUAAGAUCCGUGGUCAAAAGGGAAACAGCCCAGAUCGUCAGCUAAGGUCCCAAAGUGUAAGUUAAGUGGGAAAGGAUGUGAGAUUUCUAAGACAACUAGGAUGUUGGCUUAGAAGCAGCCAUUCAUUAAAAGAGUGCGUAAUAGCUCACUAGUCGAGAGAUCUUGCGCCGAAAAUGUAACGGGGCUAAACUUACCACCGAAGCUACGGGCUUGAACUUAGUUCAAGCGGUAGGAGAGCGUCGUAACCGGGCUGAAGUCGUACCGUAAGGAGCGGUGGACUGGUUACGAGUGAGAAUGUUGGCAUCAGUAGCGAGAUGUGGGUGAGAAUCCCACAGGCCGAAAACCUAAGGUUUCCUCAGGAAGGUUCGUCCGCUGAGGGUUAGUCGGGACCUAAGCCGAGGCCGAAAGGCGUAGGUGAUGGACAACUGGUUGAUAUUCCAGUACCACUACCAUCGUUAUUAUCGAUGGCGUGACGCAGGAGGAUAGUGUGUGCUAGCUAUUGGAUGCUAGUCUAAGCGUUUAGGCAGUGAGAGUAGGCAAAUCCGCUCUCAUAAUGCUGAGGCGUGAUGGGGAAGGUUCUACGGAACCGAAGUACAUGAUUCCACGCUGCCAAGAAAAGCGUCUAGAGAGAGAAGUAGUGCCCGUACCGCAAACCGACACAGGUAGGUGAGGAGAGAAUCCUAAGGCCGGCGGAAGAAUUACAGUUAAGGAACUCGGCAAAUUGACCCCGUAAGUUCGCGAGAAGGGGUGCCUACGAGAGUAGGCCGCAGAGAAUAGGCCCAAGCAACUGUUUAGCAAAAACACAGGUCUCUGCUAAAGCGUAAGCUGAUGUAUAGGGGCUGACGCCUGCCCGGUGCUGGAAGGUUAAGGGGAACACUUAGCGCAAGCGAAGGUGUGAACUUAAGCCCCAGUAAACGGCGG
rnacentral:rRNA from 3 species